rnacentral:rRNA from 1 species
AUUGAACGCUGGCGGCAGGCCUAACACAUGCAAGUCGAGCGGAUGAAGGGAGCUUGCUCCUGGAUUCAGCGGCGGACGGGUGAGUAAUGCCUAGGAAUCUGCCUGGUAGUGGGGGAUAACGUCCGGAAACGGGCGCUAAUACCGCAUACGUCCUGAGGGAGAAAGUGGGGGAUCUUCGGACCUCACGCUAUCAGAUGAGCCUAGGUCGGAUUAGCUAGUUGGUGGGGUAAAGGCCUACCAAGGCGACGAUCCGUAACUGGUCUGAGAGGAUGAUCAGUCACACUGGAAGUGAGACACGGUCCAGACUCCGACGGGAGGCAGCAGUGGGGAAUAUUGGACAAAGGGCGAAAGCCUGAUCCAGCCAUGCCGCGUGUGUGAAGAAGGUCUUCGGAUUGUAAAGCACUUUAAGUUGGGAGGAAGGGCAGUAAGUUAAUACCUUGCUGUUUUGACGGUACCAACAGAAUAAGCACCGGCUAACUUCGUG